GGUUCAAUGGUGUAGUUGGUUAUCACGUCUGUCUCACACAUAACAUUGACGUGCACAGGAGGUCUCCAGUUCGAGCCUGGAUUGAACCA
rnacentral:tRNA from 1 species